rnacentral:rRNA from 1 species
UACAGAGGGGGCAAGCGUUAUUCGGAAUUAUUGGGCGUAAAGGGCGCGUAGGCGGCCUGACAAGUGGAAGGUGAAAUCCCUCGGCUUAACCGAGGAACUGCCUUUGAAACUGUCUGGCUUGAGGCCGGGAGGGGGUAGCGGAAUUCCCAGUGUAGCGGUGAAAUGCGUAGAUAUUGGGAGGAACACCAGUGGCGAAGGCGGCUACCUGGACCGGUUCUGACGCUGAUGCGCGAAAGCCAGGGGAGCAAACGGG